CCAGUUGGCCGGGCAGCCGCGCUUUACCAAUGUCGAAAGACGGUAGGGUGAGGAAAGUCCGGGCUCCACGGAAACACGGUGCCGGAUAACGUCCGGCGAGGGCGACCUCAGGGAAAGUGCCACAGAAAGCAAACCGCCUGCCUUGGCAGGUAAGGGUGAAAGGGUGGGGUAAGAGCCCACCGCAUCUCCGGCAACGGCGAUGGCAAGGUAAACCCCACCGGGAGCAAGACCGAAUAGGGAUGACGCGGCCAGCGAAAGCUGGCCGGCUGGUUUCCAGGCCAGUCAUCCGGGUGGGUUGCGAGAGGCAGCGCGCGAGCGCUGUCCCAGAGGAAUGGCUGCCACGUUCCGGUUUCGGCCGGAGCCAUACAGAACCCGGCUUACAGGCCAACUGGCGAU
rnacentral:RNase_P_RNA from 1 species